rnacentral:rRNA from 1 species
AUGGAAACCUCUGGACGACACGGCGCCUCCGGCUGCUACACCCCUCCCGCGGCAGACAGGCUCUGGAGGCAGCGCUCCUCUCCCGCAGCUGUUGUGUCCGCCUUCUUGCCGUGCGGCGGCGACGGUGGCCAGGCGCGAAGAAAGAUCAGGAGCGCGCGUCUGGGUGGGAAGGUCGGGCACCGCAACGGCGAGGAGGCGGAGUUGGGCCCUGCUGCCUUGCCAGGCGGCAUGGGGUUCGCGCGAGCGCUGUGGAUGCAGAUCGUCACCAAGGUGAUGAGCCGGAGGGGUUCCUCCGUGAAGGAGCGGUACGCGCAGGAGGAUUACGAGCAAAACUUCGACGAGGGCGGCGCGGCUGGGGAGCCCGAGAACCUCCCGCGGUCCUUCUCCGCGCGGUACGCCCGCCGGCGUCCUGCUGGGAUGGCGUUCUCGGAUGUAGCUCACCGCCUGCGUUUGCAUCCUGAUUGUGGGUAA